rnacentral:rRNA from 1 species
CAACUUUUGACAACGGAUCUCUUGGUUCUCCCAUCGAUGAAGAACGCAGCGAAUUGCGAUAAGUAAUGUGAAUUGCAGAAUUCAGUGAAUCAUCGAAUCUUUGAACGCACCUUGCGCCUGUGGGUAUUCCCACAGGCAUGCCUGUUUGAGUGUCACUA